CCUACGGGAGGCUGCAGUGAGGAAUAUUGGUCAAUGGGCGCGAGCCUGAACCAGCCAAGUAGCGUGAAGGAUGACUGCCCUACGGGUUGUAAACUUCUUUUAUCAAGGAAUAAAGUGAGGCACGUGUGCCUUGUUGUGUGUACUUGAUGAAUAAGCAUCGGCUAACUCCGUGCCAGCAGCCGCGGUAAUACGGAGGAUCCGAGCGUUAUCCGGAUUUAUUGGGUUUAAAGGGAGCGUAGGUGGGUUGUUAAGUCAGUUGUGAAAGGUUGGGGCUCAACCGUAAAAUUGCAAUUGAUACUGGCAGUCUCGAGUUCGGUUGAGGUAGGCGGAAUGCGCGGUGUAGCGGUGAAAUGCUUAGAUAUCACGAAGAACUCCGAUUGCGAAGGCAGCUUACUAAACUGACACUGACAUUGAUGCUCGAAAGUGUGGGUAUCAAACAGGAUUAGAUACCCCAGUAGUC
rnacentral:rRNA from 1 species